rnacentral:rRNA from 1 species
AUUGAACGCUGGCGGCAGGCCUAACACAUGCAAGUCGAGCGGCAGCGGGAAAGUAGCUUGCUACUUUUGCCGGCGAGCGGCGGACGGGUGAGUAAUGCCUGGGGAUCUGCCCAGUCGAGGGGGAUAACUACUGGAAACGGUAGCUAAUACCGCAUACGCCCUACGGGGAAAGCAGGGGACCUUCGGGCCUUGCGCGAUUGGAUGAACCCAGGUGGGAUAGCUAGUUGGUGAGGUAAUGGCUCACCAAGGCGACGAUCCCUAGCUGGUCUGGGAGGAUGAUCAGCCACAAUGGAACUGGGACACGGUCCAGACUCCUACGGGAGGCAGCAGUGGGGAAUAUUGCACAAUGGGGGAAACCCUGAUGCAGCCAUGCCGCGUGUGUGAAGAAGGCCUUCGGGUUGUAAAGCACUUUCAGCGAGGAGGAAAGGUUGGUAGCUAAUAACUGCCAGCUGUGACGUUACUCGCAGAAGAAGCACCGGCUAACUCCGUGCCAGCAGCCGCCGUAA